CUCCUCCCUGUGCUCCUGGAGAUAGCUGGUCAGGCAUCCUCCCACUGUGCUCUCCUUGUCUCCUUGACUCUGGAGCCGGGGGUAACCUCAUGGACCUUGGCCUAUCAAUUAAGGAGCAGCUGUCUGAUUCCAGUUCACGCAUCCUAACCCAACGGAACAAUUGAGAAAGCUUGGCCAGCAAUGACUGUUAUUCCUUGUGAAUGUGACCCGACUUUGCAGCCUGCACACCCUCCUCACCACCAUCAUCUUGACUCCAGUGAAAGCUGAGAGCUCCAAGGCAAUCCUGGGACAGCGCCACCAUCUUACGUCGCACCGCUCAGCCAUCA